rnacentral:rRNA from 1 species
ACGCACGCUGGCGGCGUGCUUAACCCAUGCCAGUCGAACGGAAAGGCCCUGCUUUUGUGGGGUGCUCGAGUGGCGAACGGGUGAGUAACACGUGAGUAACCUGCCCUUGACUUUGGGAUAACUUCAGGAAACUGGGGCUAAUACCGGAUAGGAGCUCCUGCUGCAUGGUGGGGGUUGGAAAGUUUCGGCGGUUGGGGAUGGACUCGCGGCUUAUCAGCUUGUUGGUGGGGUAGUGGCUUACCAAGGCUUUGACGGGUAGCCGGCCUGAGAGGGUGACCGGCCACAUUGGGACUGAGAUACGGCCCAGACUCCUACGGGAGGCAGCAGUGGGGAAUAUUGCACAAUGGGCGGAAGCCUGAUGCAGCAACGCCGCGUGCGGGAUGAAGGCCUUCGGGUUGUAAACCGCUUUCGCCUGUGACGAAGCGUGAGUGACGGUAAUGGGUAAAGAAGCACCGGCUAACUACGUG